rnacentral:rRNA from 1 species
GAUGAACGCUGGCGGCGUGCCUAAUACAUGCAAGUCAAGCGAACAGACGAGGGGCUUGCUCCUCUGACGUUAGCGGCGGACGGGUGAUUAACACGUGGAUAACCUACCUAUAAGACUGGGAUAACUUCGGGAAACCGGAGCUAAUACCGGAUAAUAUAUUGAACCGCAUGGUUCAUUAGUGAAAGACGGUUUUGCUGUCACUUAUAGAUGGAUCCGCGCCGCAUUAGCUAGUUGGUAAGGUAACGGCUUACCAAGGCAACGAUGCGUAGCCGACCUGAGAGGGUGAUCGGCCACACUGGAACUGAGACACGGUCCAGACUCCUACGGGAGGCAGCAGUAGGGAAUCUUCCGCAAUGGGCGAAAGCCUGACGGAGCAACGCCGCGUGAGUGAUGAAGGUCUUCGGAUCGUAAAACUCUGUUAUUAGGGAAGAACAAAUGUGUAAGUAACUAUUCACGUCUUGACGGUACCUAAUCAGAAAGCCACGGCUAACUACGUG